rnacentral:ncRNA from 1 species
CAGGUUGAAGUCAGGGGAAACUCUGAUGGAGGACCGUACGGGUUAUUGAUGUGCAAAUCAUUUUUCUGAUGUAGGUAAAGGUGCGAAAGACUCAUCGAACCACCUAAUAGCUGGUUUCCUCCGAAGUUUCCCUCAAGAUAGCUGUAAUGCAUUUAGUUAAGGGGAGUAGAGAUAUGGGUAGAGGUGCAGGGAGCCUUCGGGUUCUCAACUUAUUUCCAAACUUCGAACCUCCUUGUUAGGCAUUUACCUAACUGGAAAUGCUUAAAUGAAUUAGCGUUACAAGUGGGCUCUGACCGGUAAGCGGUCAUGGCGAAAUGGGAUGAACCAUACGUCUGAAUAAGGUGCCGAAAUGUACUAUCACUGAUACCAUAAAGGGAGUCCAUGUAUUUAGACAGCAGGUCGGUGCCCCUAAAAGCAGGUAUCCGCUAAAGAGUGUGUUAAAACUCACCUGCCGAAUACUAGGGCCCCGAAAAUGAAUGGCGCAUAUAGUACUACCGAUCUCAGACAUCAGUUCUAUUGAACUGAGAGUAGGGGGAUGUGGACAUUUUUGUGAAGGUGCAAUGUGAGUUGGACUGGAAGAAUGUCUAUUACAGAUCCUAAUUGAAGUAGCGAUUAUCCAGGCUUGUAUCCUGGGGGCUGAUGAGGAGUAAGGUUUCUGGACAACUUAAACAGAUCCAGAGUUAGUCGAUCCUAAUCUCAAUAAUGGGAGAAAGGGAGUACAGUUGAUAUUCUGUAACUGACAACAGUUCGCGGCAACGCAUACUAUU